rnacentral:rRNA from 1 species
UUAAGCGACUAAGCGUACACGGUGGAUGCCCUGGCAGUCAGAGGCGAUGAAGGACGUGCUAAUCUGCGAAAAGCGUCGGUAAGGUGAUAUGAACCGUUAUAACCGGCGAUGUCCGAAUGGGGAAACCCAGUGUGAUUCGUCACACUAUCGUUAACUGAAUACAUAGGUUAACGAGGCGAACCGGGGGAACUGAAACAUCUAAGUACCCCGAGGAAAAGAAAUCAACCGAGAUUCCCCCAGUAGCGGCGAGCGAACGGGGAGCAGCCCAGAGUCUGAAUCAGCUUGUGUGUUAGUGGAACGGUCUGGAAAGUCCGACGGUACAGGGUGAUAGUCCCGUACACCAAAAUGCACAGGCUGUGAACUCGAAGAGUAGGGCGGGACACGUGGUAUCCUGUCUGAAUAUGGGGGGACCAUCCUCCAAGGCUAAAUACUCCUGACUGACCGAUAGUGAACCAGUACCGUGAGGGAAAGGCGAAAAGAACCCCGGCGAGGGGAGUGAAAAAGAACCUGAAACCGUGUACGUACAAGCAGUGGGAGCACCUUCGGGUGUGACUGCGUACCUUUUGUAUAAUGGGUCAGCGACUUAUAUUCUGUAGCAAGGUUAACCGUAUAGGGGAGCCGCAGGGAAACCGAGUCUUAACUGGGCGUUAAGUUGCAGGGUAUAGACCCGAAACCCGGUGAUCUAGCCAUGGGCAGGUUGAAGGUUGGGUAACACUAACUGGAGGACCGAACCGACUAAUGUUGAAAAAUUAGCGGAUGACUUGUGGCUGGGGGUGAAAGGCCAAUCAAACCGGGAGAUAGCUGGUUCUCCCCGAAAGCUAUUUAGGUAGCGCCUCGUGAACUCAUCUUCGGGGGUAGAGCACUGUUUCGGCUAGGGGGUCAUCCCGACUUACCAACCCGAUGCAAACUACGAAUACCGAAGAAUGUUAUCACGGGAGACACACGGCGGGUGCUAACGUCCGUCGUGAAGAGGGAAACAACCCAGACCGCCAGCUAAGGUCCCAAAGUCAUGGUUAAGUGGGAAACGAUGUGGGAAGGCACAGACAGCCAGGAUGUUGGCUUAGAAGCAGCCAUCAUUUAAAGAAAGCGUAAUAGCUCACUGGUCGAGUCGGCCUGCGCGGAAGAUGUAACGGGGCUAAACCAUGCACCGAAGCUGCGGCAGCGACACUAUGUGUUGUUGGGUAGGGGAGCGUUCUGUAAGCCUGCGAAGGUGACCUGUGAGGGUUGCUGGAGGUAUCAGAAGUGCGAAUGCUGACAUAAGUAACGAUAAAGCGGGUGAAAAGCCCGCUCGCCGGAAGACCAAGGGUUCCUGUCCAACGUUAAUCGGGGCAGGGUGAGUCGACCCCUAAGGCGAGGCCGAAAGGCGUAGUCGAUGGGAAACAGGUUAAUAUUCCUGUACUUGGUGUUACUGCGAAGGGGGGACGGAGAAGGCUAUGUUAGCCGGGCGACGGUUGUCCCGGUUUAAGCAUGUAGGCUGGUUGUCCAGGCAAAUCCGGAUAAUCAAGGCUGAGGUGUGAUGACGAGGCACUACGGUGCUGAAGUAACAAAUGCCCUGCUUCCAGGAAAAGCCUCUAAGCAUCAGGUAACAUCAAAUCGUACCCCAAACCGACACAGGUGGUCAGGUAGAGAAUACCAAGGCGCUUGAGAGAACUCGGGUGAAGGAACUAGGCAAAAUGGUGCCGUAACUUCGGGAGAAGGCACGCUGGUGUGUAGGUGAAGUCCCUGCGGAUGGAGCUGAGACCAGUCGAAGAUACCAGCUGGCUGCAACUGUUUAUUAAAAACACAGCACUGUGCAAACACGAAAGUGGACGUAUACGGUGUGACGCCUGCCCGGUGCCGGAAGGUUAAUUGAUGGGGUUAUCCGUAAGGAGAAGCUCUUGAUCGAAGCCCCGGUAAACGGCGGCCGUAACUAUAACGGUCCUAAGGUAGCGAAAUUCCUUGUCGGGUAAGUUCCGACCUGCACGAAUGGCGUAAUGAUGGCCAGGCUGUCUCCACCCGAGACUCAGUGAAAUUGAACUCGCUGUGAAGAUGCAGUGUACCCGCGGCAAGACGGAAAGACCCCGUGAACCUUUACUAUAGCUUGACACUGAACAUUGAGCCUUGAUGUGUAGGAUAGGUGGGAGGCUUUGAAGCGUGGACGCCAGUCUGCGUGGAGCCAACCUUGAAAUACCACCCUUUAAUGUUUGAUGUUCUAACGUUGGCCCCUUACCGGGGUUGCGGACAGUGUCUGGUGGGUAGUUUGACUGGGGCGGUCUCCUCCCAAAGCGUAACGGAGGAGCACGAAGGUUAGCUAAUCCUGGUCGGACAUCAGGAGGUUAGUGCAAUGGCAUAAGCUAGCUUGACUGCGAGCGUGACGGCGCGAGCAGGUGCGAAAGCAGGUCAUAGUGAUCCGGUGGUUCUGAAUGGAAGGGCCAUCGCUCAACGGAUAAAAGGUACUCCGGGGAUAACAGGCUGAUACCGCCCAAGAGUUCAUAUCGACGGCGGUGUUUGGCACCUCGAUGUCGGCUCAUCACAUCCUGGGGCUGAAGUAGGUCCCAAGGGUAUGGCUGUUCGCCAUUUAAAGUGGUACGCGAGCUGGGUUUAGAACGUCGUGAGACAGUUCGGUCCCUAUCUGCCGUGGGCGCUGGAGAAUUGAGGGGGGCUGCUCCUAGUACGAGAGGACCGGAGUGGACGCAUCACUGGUGUUCGGGUUGUCAUGCCAAUGGCACUGCCCGGUAGCUAAAUGCGGAAGAGAUAAGUGCUGAAAGCAUCUAAGCACGAAACUUGCCCCGAGAUGAGUUCUCCCUGAGACUUUAAGUCUCCUGAAGGAACGUUGAAGACGACGACGUUGAUAGGCCGGGUGUGUAAGCGCAGCGAUGCGUUGAGCUAACCGGUACUAAUGAACCGUGAGGCUUAACCUU